GGGACCUUGGAGCCUUCCACAAUCUGGGCCUGUUUUGUUGACUUGCUCCUCAUAGAUUGUGGUUCUCUGUUGACAGCUGUCAGGGUGGGGGGGAUUUUGUUUUUCAAGGAACAUUUGAUCAUGUCUAGAGAUGUUUGGGGUCAUCACCAACUGAUGGGCGGCGCUAUUGGUAUCCAGCGGGUAGAGGCCAGGGAUGUGAACAACCAUCCAAUAAUGCUCAGGAAAACCCCUAAGAACAACAAAAGAUGACCCAGCCCCAAAGGUCAGUGGGAGAAUACCUGUAAAAACCUGGUUCAGGGUAAGUUAACAGAAAUAGGAAAAGGGAUAGGGAUAGAGCUGGACAUAGACAUAAACACAUAUUCAGUUCAUUCUGCAAAGAAAGAAGAAAAAGACACUUGACUUCACUUCUGAUGGCUAAGUCUUCCCAGAGCUCAAUCACUGGAAAAGUGACCCUUCGCUGCUCCUGUUAGCCAGCUUUCCGCCACUCAAACAAAACACUUGAGAUAAUCAACUUGAAAAGAGGAAAAGGGGUUUGGGGCUCACAACAUAGGGUGACACAGUCCACCCCAGCAGGAGUAGCUGGCAGAGGAGCCCUGCUCAUCUCAUGGCAGGGAAGGGAAGCCAAGACACAAAGGAAGAGCCUGAGGUCCCAAGACCCCAAGGGCAAGGGAUCACCAUCGUCUUUGGAUUUUGGGCGUCUAUUUCAGGCAUUUCCCCUGAAUAGCCAAAGGGUUCUGAGUGAUGGCAAAGCAUGACUUAGGGGCCAGCUGCUGGCUGAUGAUUGGCUCACAGCGGCCCCAGCAGGGCCCAGGAGGUGGAAAUGGAACUCGG
rnacentral:lncRNA from 1 species